rnacentral:rRNA from 1 species
GACGAACGCUGGCGGCGUGCUUAACACAUGCAAGUCGAACGAAGUGGCGAACGGGUGAGUAACGCGUAAUCAACCUGCCCUUCAGAGGGGGACAACAGUUGGAAACGACUGCUAAUACCGCAUACUGAAGGAGGGGAUUGCGUCUGAUUAGCUCGUUGGAGGGGUAACGGCCCACCAAGGCGAUGAUCAGUAGCCGGGCGGAGAGGAUGAACGGGCACAUUGGGACUGAGACAAGGCCCAGAAUCCUACGGGAGGCAGCAGUGGGGAAUCUUCCGCAAUGGACGAAAGUCUGACGGAGCAACGCCGGGGGAGAGAUGACGGGCUUCGGGUUGUAAAGCUAUGUUAAUCGGGACGCGGUACCGGAAUAGAAAGCCACGGCUAACUACGUGCCAGCAGCCGCGGUAAUUC